CCUACGGGAGGCAGCAGUGAGGAAUAUUGGUCAAUGGACGAGAGUCUGAACCAGCCAAGUAGCGUGAAGGAUGACUGCCCUAUGGGUUGUAUACUUCUUUUAUAAAGGAAUAAAACGAGGCACGUGUGCCUUUUUGCAUGUACUUUAUGAAUAAGGAUCGGCUAACUCCGUGACAGCAGCCGCGGUAAUACGGAGGAUCCGAGCGUUAUCCGGAUUUAUUGGGUUUAAAGGGAGCGUAGAUGGGUUGUUAAGUCAGUUGUGAAAGUUUGCGGGUCAACAGUAAAAUUGCAAUUGAUACUGGCAGUCUUGAGUACAGUUGAGGUAGGCGGAAUUCGUGGUGUAGCGGUGAAAUGCUUAGAUAUCACGAAGAACCCCGAUUGCGAAGGCAGCUUACUAAACUGUGACUGACAUUGAUGCUCGAAAGUGUGGGUAUCAAACAGGAUUAGAUACCCCGGUAGUC
rnacentral:rRNA from 1 species